UGAGGAAUAUUGGUCAAUGGCCGGGAGGCUGAACCAGCCAAGCCGCGUGAAGGAAGAAGGUACUAAGUAUUGUAAACUUCUUUUGUCGGGGAACAAAGGGUGUCACGUGUGACAUUGUGAGUGUACCCGAAGAAAAAGCAUCGGCUAACUCCGUGCCAGCAGCCGCGGUAAUACGGAGGAUGCGAGCGUUAUCCGGAUUUAUUGGGUUUAAAGGGUGCGUAGGCGGUCAGUUAAGUCAGCGGUAAAAGCCCGGGGCUCAACCCCGGCGAGCCGUUGAAACUGGUUGACUUGAGUUGGAGAGAGGUAAGCGGAAUGCGCGGUGUAGCGGUGAAAUGCAUAGAUAUCGCGCAGAACUCCGAUUGCGAAGGCAGCUUACUGGCUCCAUACUGACGCUGAGGCACGAAAGCGUGGGUAUCGAACAGG
rnacentral:rRNA from 1 species